rnacentral:lncRNA from 1 species
GACUUGACGCUAGAUUUUCUGUUUCCCUUUCACCUUCUGAUAUAGAUCAAAUGGCCAAAAGACUGGAGGAAUAAGUAGCAGAAGCAAAGAGCCUGAAUGAUCCCCAGGCCAUAUAAUCAGCUCUAACAGCCAGCAAGGUUAUCAAGCAUGAAAUGCUAUGGACAGUGGGGUUUGGACUAGAGAUGCAGAAAUUAAAAUUUGUUCCCUUACCCCAAACAAUGAGCUAUGGAACACUGGGGAACAGGGUCACAGAUCAACCUCAAGCAGCAAGUAUUUUUGAAAUUAUAUAAAUACUGCUUGAAUUCCUUUUUCUUGUAAAAAUUUAAGUAUC